ensembl:lncRNA
GUGCUGCGCGUGUGAGAUAGGUUUCCUGCCCUGAGGAAAAAAUACCAGUGUAUUUGAUACGAUAGUGGCAUACAAAAAGUGAGUGGUAUAUAUUUCAUAUGCCGACCAUGGCUAAGGCUUGGAUCCUAAAUACGUUUUCUUAAUGCAGUGUCACCACUGCACAUGUAGCCUACAGAGGCCUGCCUUGUCACCAAGCCAGGAAGAUUUCUCAUCAAAUGCACCAGAGAAACGGAACUGUGUUUCGUUGGAGGGAAGGCAUGGAGGGAAGGAGUGGGUGGAGAUCUGGACCAUGAUUAGCCCAUCUCUGUGUGGUGGAGAUCCCAGAACUGCAGCCCGACGACUGGAUACGGUCAGGCUCAUCUACUGCUCUCCUUCUGGAGCUCAGGACUUGUCCGUUAAAGCCCCCCCGUCCUCCCCGUGUCAUCGAUGGCCUUCCAGCAUACAUGGUAAGAUGCCUCCUGUGUGUUUGACCACGGGGCAGGGGUUUCCAGUACCUGGUUGACUGGGAGUGUUAUGGCCCAGAG